rnacentral:RNase_P_RNA from 1 species
CGGGCUGGCCGGGCGACCGCGUCGCCUUCCACACGAAAGGGAGGCGUCGAGGAAAGUCCGGGCUCCACAGAGCAAGGUGGUGGGUAACGCCCACCCGGGGAGACCCGCGGGACAGUGCCACAGAAAGCAGACCGCCGUGCCUCCGGGCGCGGUAAGGGUGAAACGGUGGUGUAAGAGACCACCAGCGCCCCAGGUGACUGGGACGGCUAGGUAAACCCCACCUGGAGCAAGGUCAGACAGGAUGCGUUCGAGGGCGGCUCGCCCGAGCAUCCGGGUAGACCGCUGGAGGCCGCCGGCAACGGCGGUCCGAGAUGGAUGGUCGCCCCUCUUCGGAGGACAGAACCCGGCUUAUGUGCCAGCCCGUCAC